GGGAUCAUUUCACUCGCGGAUC
rnacentral:miRNA from 1 species